CCUACGGGUGGCAGCAGUGGGGGAUAUUGCACAAUGGAGGGAACUCUGAUGCAGCGACGCCGCGUGAGGGAAGAAGGUUUUCGGAUUGUAAACCUCUGUCUUCGGUGACGAAACGAGACGGUAGCCGAGGAGGAAGCCACGGCUAACUACGUGCCAGCAGCCGCGGUAAUACGUAGGUGGCAAGCGUUGUCCGGAAUUACUGGGUGUAAAGGGAGCGUAGGCGGGAAAGCAAGUUGAAUGUUUAAGGUACGGGCUCAACCCCGUCGAGCCGUUGAAACUGGCAGACUUGAGUUGGCGAGAAGUACGCGGAAUGCGCGGUGUAGCGGUGAAAUGCAUAGAUAUCGCGCAGAACUCCGAUUGCGAAGGCAGCGUACCGGCGCCAGACUGACGCUGAGGCACGAAAGCGUGGGGAUCGAACAGGAUUAGAUACCCCAGUAGUC
rnacentral:rRNA from 1 species